rnacentral:tRNA from 1 species
ACUAUUUUGGCAGAUCAGUGCAGUAAAUUUAGAAUUUACUAAUGUAACAAUUGUUACAAAUAGUA